AGGAAGACCGUUCCAUGCAGUGAUAAGCAAAAUGAAGUGAAACCAAGUCUGUGGAAAGGUGGAGUGUGCUGGGAGGCUGUGGAGGAAGACUGUCGGGUGGGGCCGUGCACUGUGCCCACGUGGAGGCGGGCACCCCAGUGGACCCUGCGCUUGCUAUUUGACUGGAUUCUCACAGCAGCUCUCAGAAAUCUGCACCGUGACUCCGAUUUGACUGAUGGAGACCCAGAUACCCAGAGAGAUUAAGCAGCUCCGGCCAGGCCAUGGCUGACGUUCCAGCUCCCUCUCACUGGGUGACAACUGGCUCCCUCUGUCCCCCACGCGCCUUCUUCAGCUUGCUGCCUUUGCUGGGGAAGUGCCCACUCAGGACAGCUGAGGAGACGGAGCCACGGAGGUUGACAUAGGAGGUGAUGGAACAGCCAGUUUUCCUGCUGAGCCCAUCCGUAUAGACAGCCGGCAUGCAUUGAUGUGUCUCUCUCCCAGCUUCAACCCCUGUCUGCAGAGCUGGAGACUCCGACUGUUCCCGCAUGUCCCUUCUCUGUUGUUACCUGCCGUCCAGACAAAAAUGGCAUAGUAAAAUAAAAGUUGAGAGAAUGCACAAACUGAUCUUUAUUUUCUCCAACAUCAAAGCGUGAUUGAUUGAUUUAUAUUUAUUUAUUUAUUUUAUUUUUGAGACAGAAUUUCACUCUGUUGACCAGGCUGGACUGCAAUGGCUCACUGCAACCUCCGCCUCCCUGGUUCAAGCAAUUCUCCUGCCUCAGCCUCCUACAUAGCUGGGAUUACAGACAUCCACCACCACACCUGGCUAAUUUUUUGUAUUUAGUAGAGUCAGAGUUUCACCAUGUUUGUCAGGCUGGUCUCGAACUGCUGACCUCAGGUGAUCCACCCACCUUGGCCUCCCAAAGUGCUGAGAUUACAGGUGUGCACCACCGCACCCAGCCGCAUGAUUUUUUUUCUUUCUGUUCUAGACAAUUUGAAAACACGAAUGAGAAGAAGAAACAGAAUCCCCCUAAUCCUAACUGCAUCAAACACAGCAAGCACUUCAACAUUCAUCUCUGUGGACCCUUUCUUGCUAGGAAAGCUGGAGAUUUUCCCUACAUAAUUAUGCUUAAAAAAAAAAAACCUUUCAAGUUUAGAAUAGUUUUAUAUUUGCAGAGAAAUUGUGACAGUAGUACAGAGAAAUACACCCCACACCCAGUUCCCCCUAUUAUUAACAUCUUACAUUAGUAUGGUGGAACAUUUGUUACAAUUAAUGCAGAAUGAGACAUUUUUAUUAACUGAAGUCCAUACUUGAUGUUCUUUUUCUGUCCCAGAAUCCCACUUUGCAUUUAGUCAUUGUGUGUCCCCAGGCUCCUCUUGGCUGUGACACUUUCUGACUCUCCUUGUCUUUGAUGAUCCUGAGAGUUUUAACGAGGACUGGUCAGGUGUUUUGUAGAACGUCCCUCAAUUUGAUCGCCUGAUUUUUUUUUUUCUUUUUUUUUUUUUGAGAUGGAGUCUUGCUCUGUCAUCAAGGCUGGAGUGCUGUGGCUCGAUCUCGGCUCCCUGCAACCUCGCCUCCCAGGUUCAAGCAAUUCUGCUGCCUCAACCUCUCAUGUAGCUGGGACUACAGGCACGUGUCACCACGUCUGGCUAAUUUUUGUAUUUUUAGCAGAUACCUGGUUUCACCGUGUUGGCCAGGCUGAUCUCAAACUCCUGACCUCAAGUGAUCUGCCCGUCUCAGCCUCCCAAAGUGCUGGGAUUACAGGCAUGAGCCACCGCUCCCAGCCUGGUGUUUUUCAUGAUUAAACUAAUCAGGUUUUUGGGAGUGACACUUUUUAAACCCCUUGUUUAAGUUUCUAUUAUGAAGGAUAGGAGAGAAGAGCUGAUAACUUUUGGGGAUAGCUAAGAAGAAAGCAUGUUGCUACAUUUUUGCCUCCACUCAAUUAGUGAGUGUAGUUUGAGGCCACCUGACUACAGGGCUGCCUUCUCUCCCCUUUCCCAUCUCUACGCUCCAGUCUCCACUGCCUGAAGGAAAGAAGCUUUUGAAACUUGAAUCCCAUCUCAUCACUUCCUGGCUGAAAGCGCCGGCGCUGCUGUGGCUGUGGUCCUUGGGCAGGAUUCCAAAUCCUUCUUCUGAGCUUUCAAAGCCCUCAUCUGGCUCCAGAAGUUCCUUACCCCUGGUCUUAGUUUGAGACAAAAAUUUGGAUGCAAGUAGUUGAUUUGGGGUGGGACUGGUGAUCCAGGAAGCAGGGGAGAAGGGGUGGGGUGGAAGGAAACUGUGAAAGGGCAUGGGCAAUGUCAGCAAGGGGGUCUCGUUUCUGCUGGAGACCCCCAAGGAGUGUGCAGAACCUCCUCUGAGUCUGCCAGCUCCUGUUCUUUUUGAUUUGGGGAUGCUCCUGGGUCAUUACUGUCUGGAUGUCCAGCCUGCUUCCUGUUAAGCAGGGUGGUGUUGGGGACCUGCCCCCUCCAGCUGUGGGGGCAUCCAGGUGGGCCAUGGGAGGCGGUGGGCCCCACAGCCUCCUUCUCUGAUGGGCUUUCCUGGACACAUUGGACACUGUCUUCCCACCACCCCACCUCCCGGUUAGCCUGGCCACCUUCUCACUCAAAAUGCAUGGUCUCCAAAGUGGGUGCUUGUGGGUCAGACCACCUCAGAAGUGACCUCCAGGAGAGGGAGGUAAAUAACAGAACUUCUACUUACAUCUUUUUUUCAUCUCAAAGUAAAAGAGACCAAGUCUUAUGAAGGCACUGACACCAUGGCAUGUGUUCUGUGAGGUUUUCCUCCAUUUGGAGGUGCUGUAUUAAAAAUGUAAGAGAUUUUUUCCCUUUCUGAGGAGCACUCAAGAGGGAUAUUGAAAUAAACUAAACUCAGAACCAGAUUCUUA